rnacentral:rRNA from 1 species
UACGGAGGGUGCGAACGUUAAUCGGAAUCACUGGGCGUAAAGCGCGCGUAGGCGGCCUGGUAAGUGGGAUGUGAAAUCCCCGGGCUUAACCUGGGAAUUGCAUUUCAAACUGGCCGACUAGAGUACGGUAGAGGGAGGUAGAAUUUCCUGUGUAGCGGUGAAAUGCGUAGAUAUAGGAAGGAAUACCAGUGGCGAAGGCGGCCUCCUGGAUCGAUGCUGACGCUGAGGCGCGAAAGCGUGGGGAGCAAACAGG